rnacentral:rRNA from 1 species
UACGUAGGGGGCAAGCGUUGUCCGGAAUUAUUGGGCGUAAAGAGCGCGUAGGCGGUCCGGUAAGUCGGCUGUGAAAGUCAAGGGCUCAACCCUUGAAAGCCGGCCGAUACUGUCGGACUAGAGUCCGGAAGAGGCGAGUGGAAUUCCCGGUGUAGCGGUGAAAUGCGCAGAUAUCGGGAGGAACACCAAUGGCGAAGGCAGCUCGCUGGGACGGUACUGACGCUGAGGUGCGAAAGCGCGGGGAGCAAACAGG